rnacentral:rRNA from 1 species
GAUGAACGCUAGCGACAGGCUUAACACAUGCAAGUCGAGGGGCAGCAGGGGAGUAGCAAUACUCCCGCUGGCGACCGGCGCACGGGUGAGUAACACGUAUGCAACCUGCCCUUGUCAGGGGGAUAAGCGGAAGAAAUUCCGUCUAAUACCGCAUAAUGCUGCGGGGAGACAUCUCCCUGCAGCCAAAGAUUUAUCGGACAAGGAUGGGCAUGCGGCGCAUUAGCUUGUUGGCGGGGUAACGGCCCACCAAGGCGACGAUGCGUAGGGGUUCUGAGAGGAAGGUCCCCCACACUGGUACUGAGACACGGACCAGACUCCUACGGGAGGCAGCAGUGAGGAAUAUUGGUCAAUGGCCGGGAGGCUGAACCAGCCAAGUCGCGUGAGGGAAGACGGUCCUAUGGAUUGUAAACCUCUUUUGUCAGGGAGCAAAAACUGCCACGUGUGGCAGGAUGAGAGUACCUGAAGAAAAAGCAUCGGCUAACUCCGUGCCAGCAGCCGCGGUAAUACGGAGGAUGCGAGCGUUAUCCGGAUUUAUUGGGUUUAAAGGGUGCGUAGGCGGACAGUUAAGUCAGCGGUAAAAUUGAGAGGCUCAACCUCUUCCCGCCGUUGAAACUGAUUGUCUUGAGUGGGCGAGAAGUAUGCGGAAUGCGUGGUGUAGCGGUGAAAUGCAUAGAUAUCACGCAGAACUCCGAUUGCGAAGGCAGCAUACCGGCGCCCAACUGACGCUGAAGCACGAAAGCGUGGGUAUCGAACAGGAUUAGAUACCCUGGUAGUCCACGCAGUAAACGAUGAAUACUAAUUGUUCGGGUCAAAUGAGAUCUGAGUGAUACAGCGAAAGCGUUAAGUAUUCCACCUGGGGAGUACGCCGGCAACGGUGAAACUCAAAGGAAUUGACGGGGGCCCGCACAAGCGGAGGAACAUGUGGUUUAAUUCGAUGAUACGCGAGGAACCUUACCCGGGCUCAAACGACACAGGAAUGAUCUGAGAAAUCAGGCAGUCCUCCGGGACCUGUGUCGAGGUGCUGCAUGGUUGUCGUCAGCUCGUGCCGUGAGGUGUCGGCUUAAGUGCCAUAACGAGCGCAACCCCCAUCGACAGUUGCCAGCAGGUCAAGCUGGGCACUCUGUCGAGACUGCCGGCGCAAGCUGUGAGGAAGGCGGGGAUGACGUCAAAUCAGCACGGCCCUUACGUCCGGGGCGACACACGUGUUACAAUGGCAGGUACAGCGGGAAGCCACCUGGCGACAGGGAGCGGAACCCGAAAGCCUGUCUCAGUUCGGAUUGGAGUCUGCAACUCGACUCCAUGAAGCUGGAUUCGCUAGUAAUCGCGCAUCAGCCACGGCGCGGUGAAUACGUUCCCGGGCCUUGUACACACCGCCCGUCAAGCCAUGGAAGUCGGGAGUGCCUGAAGUGCGCCCAACCAGCGCCCUAAGGUAAAACUGAUGACUGGGGCUAAGUCGUAACAAGGUAGCCGUACCGGAAGGUGCGGCUGGAACACCUCCUUUCUGGAGCAAGGGUACCGGUCAAUAAAGACCACCCGGCCGAGACAAUCGGCACUCCGGUAUCGGGCUUUCCGCCAGUUUACGCAAUGACCGCCGAUAAGUAAUAGCGUCGGGGAUCAGACAGAAGGGACAAUCCGGAAGCAUCUUUACUUCUUCAUCGAAAUCGCAUUUAUAUAGCAUUAUCCCGGCAGCCGGAUGGAAGCCAUCGGGCCACGGGUUGAAGUGCAGUCCCUUAGCUCAGUUGGUUAGAGCGCUACACUGAUAAUGUAGAGGUCGGCAGUUCAACUCUGCCAGGGACUACAGAAUAAGGCUUCAGUGAAGCCGCCAGAACGAGAACAUUGACAUAUUGGAGACUCAAACAAAUAGAAUCCGCUUCGGAUCGGGUCGCGCAGCGACUUGAGAAGAAGUAAGAUUCCACGAGCAAAUCAAAUUUCAUAAUGCAAUUUUUGCCAGAGUAGCCGGUAUGCGCCGCAAGGCGUAUGCGAGGUAAAUUCUACGACGGAAAGAAAAAAAGAAAGGAGAAAAGGGCACAUGAAGGAUGCCUUGGCUCUUGGAGGCGAAGAAGGACGUGAUAAGCUGCGAUAAGCCGCGAAGAGAGGCAAAUACUCAUUGACUCGCGGAUUUCCGAAUGGGGCAACCCGGCACGAGCGAUCGUGUCACCGUUCAGAGAACGGAGCGAACCCGGGGAACUGAAACAUCUCAGUACCCGGAGGAAAAGAAAACAAAAGUGAUUGCGCAAGUAGUGGCGAGCGAACGCGCACGAGCCCAAACCGGAGACGUUGCAAAGCGCCGUCCGGGGUUGUAGGACCGGCGACAGCAUCUAUUGAGGACCGAUAGCCGAAUCUUCUGGAAAGGAGAGCCGCAGCGGGUGAAAGCCCCGUAGGCGAAAUCGGGAAUUGAAGAUCAGCCGGCACCUGAGUAACGCGGAACACGAGAAAUUCUGCGCGAAUCUGCGGGGACCAUCCCGUAAGGCUAAAUACUACCAAGAGACCGAUAGCGAACC